GCGUUGAGAUGUCUGAAAUUAGAACCAUCCGUGCUGAGAUGUCUGCUUUGUUGAAUUCUUCCCCGCGUGCCUCGAUACGGGGCCCUUGUUCUAGCCGCACAGAUGGAAGGUCAGAGACGCCUGGGACUGAUGUCCUUAACCCACUGACGCUCGGGUCUCGUAUUCUUCUCAUAUCUCAUGGUUUGGAAAAACGCGUUGUUGGUGAGGGGGUGUUGCUAUCCGACCCUACCCUAGGU